CCUACGGGAGGCAGCAGUGAGGAAUAUUGGUCAAUGGACGAGAGUCUGAACCAGCCAAGUAGCGUGAAGGAUGACUGCCCUAUGGGUUGUAAACUUCUUUUAUCUGGGAAUAAAAUGUUCCACGUGUGGGAUUUUGUAUGUACCAUAUGAAAAAGGAUCGGCUAACUCCGUGUCAGGAGCCGCGGUAAUACGGAGGAUCCGAGCGUUAUCCGGGUGUAUUGGGUUUAAAGGGAGCGUAGGUGGAUUGUUAAGUCAGUGGGGAAAGUUUGCGGCUCAACCGUAAGAUUGCAGUUGAAACUGGCAGUCUCGAGUACAGUAGAGGUGUGCGGAAUGCGUGGUGUAGCGGUGAAAUGCUUAGAUAUCACGAAGAACUCAGAUUGCGAAGGCAGCUCACUGGACUGCAACUGACACUGAGGCUCGAAAGUGUGGGUAUCAAACAGGAUUAGAUACCCCUGUAGUC
rnacentral:rRNA from 1 species